rnacentral:pre_miRNA from 1 species
GGGGGGAGGCCGGACCCUGGGCUGUGUCCCUGGUGCCCUGUGCUCCCAGGCCUGCGCUGUUGGAUUCGCGUUCCCAGCCACGCGCCCCCUC